GUUUUUUAUCUGCAGCCAAUCCUAGGGAAGGCAGGAGGACACUCCUCCAAUGGGAGCCCGGGAGCCGUCGGUAGCGGGGUAGGCCUGUGGCCCCGCUAGCGCUCCAGCCAGCGAGAGGGACGCGUCCAGUGUAUUCUGGAGAUCUCGCUGCCAGCCCCUUGUAUCUGUUUGCGUGGCAGCCGCGGCACUGACGGUGGCUACAGGUGUCGGGUGAGUGGUAAAGACCGGGCUUGGGGGAGUGGCGGCGGGAAUAGGCCUGGCCGGAGCGCGUGAGGGGUGGGGUCUGGGCGAGCUUUUACCUGGGCGGCCUCUCAACCCUAGGUCAGCGGGUUGCAGAGGAUCACGCGGGUAGCAAAGGGAGGCCGAGUGCUCCUGCGGCCCCAGAUGGCAACCAGCCUCUGACUGCUCUCUGUCGCCUCUCCACUUGCAAUCUCCGGGACCAAGAUCUCCGGACCAAGAGAAGAUCUCUGCCAUCUCCUGCUGCUGGAGCCAGCUAACACCUUUUAUUGUGCUUGAAGAAUUCCCUUUAGCUUUUCUUAUAAGACAGUUCUGGUGUGGAUGAACUCUCUCAGCUUUUGUUUUCCUGGGAAAGUCUUUAUCUCUCCCUCAUUUCUGAAGAACAGCUUUGCCAGGUGCUGUAAUCUGUCACCUGGUUUCCUUAGCGCUUGUGAAGUAUUUUUCUGCACGGAUAGUUCAAAUUGA
rnacentral:lncRNA from 1 species